rnacentral:rRNA from 1 species
AUUGAACGCUGGCGGCAUGCUUUACACAUGCAAGUCGAACGGCAGCGCGGGGCAACCUGGCGGCGAGUGGCGAACGGGUGAGUAAUAUAUCGGAACGUACCCAGAAGUGGGGGAUAACGUAGCGAAAGUUACGCUAAUACCGCAUACGAUCUACGGAUGAAAGUAGGGGACCGCAAGGCCUUAUGCUUUUGGAGCGGCCGAUAUCUGAUUAGCUAGUUGGUGAGGUAAAGGCUCACCAAGGCGACGAUCAGUAGCUGGUCUGAGAGGACGACCAGCCACACUGGAACUGAGACACGGUCCAGACUCCUACGGGAGGCAGCAGUGGGGAAUUUUGGACAAUGGGCGCAAGCCUGAUCCAGCAAUGCCGUGUGAGUGAAGAAGGCCUUCGGGUUGUAAAGCUCUUUUGUCAGGGAAGAAACGGUAGAGGCUAAUAUCCUUUGCUAAUGACGGUACCUGAAGAAUAAGCACCGGCUAACUACGUG